rnacentral:siRNA from 1 species
UAGGUUGGAAGCUCACAGUCUA